rnacentral:rRNA from 1 species
GAGUUUGAUCCUGGCUCAGGAUGAACGCUGGCGGCGUGCUUAACACAUGCAAGUCGAACGAACCUUCGGGUUAGUGGCGGACGGGUGAGUAACGCGUGGGAAUCUGCCCUCAGGAGGGGGAUAACGGCUGGAAACGGCCGCUAAUACCCCAUAUGCCGAGAGGUGAAAUGAAUUUCGCCUGAGGAUGAGCCCGCGUCUGAUUAGCUAGUUGGUGAGGUAAGAGCUCACCAAGGCAUCGAUCAGUAGCUGGUCUGAGAGGAUGAUCAGCCACACUGGGACUGAGACACGGCCCAGACUCCUACGGGAGGCAGCAGUGGGGAAUUUUCCGCAAUGGGCGAAAGCCUGACGGAGCAACGCCGCGUGAGGGAUGAAGGCCUCUGGGCUGUAAACCUCUUUUCUCAAGGAAGAAGAUCUGACGGUACUUGAGGAAUAAGCCACGGCUAAUUCCGUGCCAGCAGCCGCGGUAAUACGGGAGUGGCAAGCGUUAUCCGGAAUUAUUGGGCGUAAAGCGUCCGCAGGCGGCCCUUCAAGUCUGCUGUUAAAAAGUGGGGCUUAACUCCAUCAUGGCAGUGGAAACUGUUGGGCUUGAGUGUGGUAGGGGCAGAGGGAAUUCCCGGUGUAGCGGUGAAAUGCGUAGAUAUCGGGAAGAACACCAGUGGCGAAGGCGCUCUGCUGGGCCAUAACUGACGCUCAUGGACGAAAGCCAGGGGAGCGAAAGGGAUUAGAUACCCCUGUAGUCCUGGCCGUAAACGAUGAACACUAGGUGUCGGGGGAAUCGACCCCCUCGGUGUCGUAGCCAACGCGUUAAGUGUUCCGCCUGGGGAGUACGCACGCAAGUGUGAAACUCAAAGGAAUUGACGGGGGCCCGCACAAGCGGUGGAGUAUGUGGUUUAAUUCGAUGCAACGCGAAGAACCUUACCAGGGUUUGACAUCCUGCGAACCUCUUGGAAACGAGAGGGUGCCUUCGGGAACGCAGUGACAGGUGGUGCAUGGCUGUCGUCAGCUCGUGUCGUGAGAUGUUGGGUUAAGUCCCGCAACGAGCGCAACCCACGUCUUUAGUUGCCAGCAUUUAGUUGGGCACUCUAGAGAGACCGCCGGUGAUAAACCGGAGGAAGGUGUGGAUGACGUCAAGUCAUCAUGCCCCUUACAUCCUGGGCUACACACGUACUACAAUGCUACGGACAAAGAGCAGCAAGUUCGCGAGGACAAGCAAAUCUCAUAAACCGUGGCUCAGUUCAGAUCGUAGGCUGCAACUCGCCUACGUGAAGGAGGAAUCGCUAGUAAUCGCAGGUCAGCAUACUGCGGUGAAUACGUUCCCGGGCCUUGUACACACCGCCCGUCACACCAUGGAAGUUGGCCACGCCCGAAGCCGUUACUCCAACCCUCGGGAGGAGGACGUCGAAGGUGGGGCUGAUGACUGGGGUGAAGUCGUAACAAGGUAACCGUA